AGGUUGACAUUUGCCACUUUCGAGCAAAAUGGCAAGAAGAGACAGUGGAACACAGGACAAAGCUGAAGAAGAACUGCCGGCUAUUGGACUGUUUAAGUGGGAGAGGACAACAGAGUGAGAGUAGGUGAGAACACAGAGGAAAGCUGUUGUUUAAUGUGGGAAAUCAAAAUUUGGGUUAGCAAACCUGGGGAAAAGAAAACUGACUGCUUAAGUGGAAAAUUGUGAAGGAAUCUGAAACACUGCAAAAAGAAACAUAUACAAAAUCACACACACAAGCAGAACAUGCAUUAACCCUACUAACACAAACACAAGAGAGCCCAUGAAGAUUAGACAACAUCUUAUGCAUGUGAGUCUGUUUAUCAUUUUGUCCAAGUCACUUAGUGUGAUGCAAAGACCAGUGGACUCACAGCACAUUGGUUAAAAAUGAUCAAUUAAUAGCAGAGAAGCGUGUAGGAAAGGCAGCUUUAAGAACAUGCCCUGCUGGAGAUGCAACUCCAGAGACAUUGAUUAAACCUGCCUAAUAACACAAACUCACAUGCAAUGAAAAUCAGCUUGUUAUCUCUCAUCAGUGCUAAAAUAGUGUAAAUUUAACAGAGACUUGUUAUCAAAUGCUGAAUUUAUCCAGUGCUGACAGUUAACUCUCUAGGUUGCAGGACAACAGUUUAACUUUUGUGGGAAAAAAAAAAAAAAAAAAGAUUCUGGUUUGACCAACCAGUGAUCAGACAAUAAAUUUAGUUGUUAAUAUAGUAAAUUGGGAGAUGCUUUCUGCCUGAUUGAUGCAGCACAAGUAAUUUACUGUAUGAGGGAAAUUCUAUUUUUGUGAUAAUAUUUUGAACAUGCAUUUCUGUUGUCCUGUCAUCUUAGUGGGUUAAUAGCUGAUAUGCAAAUUAGUUGAUGGUUCUUAGAUUAAUGAAAGGUGACUGAAUUCUAGUAAUACGAGUGAAUGGGAUGUGUUGGAGUGGAGACUCUAAAACACUGAGUUUCCUGUUGUGAUGUGCGAGUGAAUCCUGCACCCAAAUACAAAACUUUGAAUACAUAAGAACAAACGUUUUUUUUUGUGAAAUACCUGAUGACAUGUCACAUGUUUUAUGAUGACGGGAAAAAGGAAAACUAAAUAAAAUCUGUGGCCUAAAUGAGUGAAAAGUACAGUCCUGGGGAUUAAAAUUCAUAGCUAAUGAGACAUGAGGCUUAUGUUGUGUGUUGUGCGGCUGAUGGUUGGUUUUGAAUUAAUCUAGCUGAUGAUUUUUCUUUUGUUGUGAAGUUGAGCCUGCCAAUUAGUAUGAUGGUAUGAUAAACCAUGCUAGCCAUGAUUUACCCUCCUGAGAUGAGGAGCAUGUGUCAUGACUUAACGAGGCCUUUUUUAUUUUGAUACUUUCAUAGUGCACUGAAAGUUUUGUUUGAUGAUCUCUGUUUGAGCAGAUCUGCACGAUUAGAACAGAAGCGCUAUACGACACGUCGAGAAAAUUGUUGCAAGUGAGUUUCUCCACAUUAAAAUGGGCUCAGGAGGAAGUCACUUAUCUGGGACAAUUAGGAAAUAAGUUCCUGUCCAAAAGGAUUCAACGAGAAAAUCCAGUCUAAAUUCUUUUCUUUUUGAAAUGACGUCAUUUUGCUGAGAAGUGGAAAUGAAAAUGCGACGGUAAUUCCCACUGUCAGCAAAGAAAGAAUGAAUGAAUGCAUGAAUGAAUAACUGAGAGAAAAUAAAACUGACUGACUGGUAAAAGCGGACAGAAGCUGACAGACUAACUGACAUCACUGUGCGGUUAACCCCACCUGACAAAGGUGCAGAUGAAUCUAUGUGUGUUUCUUUUUACAGGAGCAGAAAGAGGACAGCAACAUUCGAGGUUGCGUGAUGAUUUAACCUUUUAAAUGCCACUCUCUGUGUCUGUGCAUCUACCAGGGGGUGUCAUUCACUACCUUGUGUUGUUCACAGAGGUAGCUGUGAGAAAGUGUGUAUACACCUGCGCAGCGCUAACAUUUCUACAGCAUUACAGUUCUUCAUGUGAUUUGAUCAUGUGAUUUAUACCAGGAUAGCUGGUUGAUGUCUUCUACUACAGGAUUUCUGGGUUUACGUGUGAAGAAAACUGCGUUUACAGGUUAUGAGUUGGUGAUGCUGUUACACUGUGUUGUUGGAGACAUGUGAAGGUUGAUUUCACUUCCAGAUCUUGUUUUCCAGGCCAUGAUGGUGUGUAUGCAGGCUCCAGGCGGAGCCAGAUGUGAAGCAAACUUAUUAUGCAAAACACACUAACAGCUUUUAUUGCAGGGUUAUAGGUCCGGGGGUGGUGCUGCUCCAGAGGGGGAGACGCCCUGAUGUUGCCUGGGACAUGAUCUAGCUAACCUUUUUCUUUCAGACAGGAAUCUGGUUUUGAUGAGUUGACUCAUGGGAGUGUCCAUGCGUCAAGAGGAGGGGUCCAGAAUUACACAGUUACAUGAAACCAUCUUUUCCAUGUUUUCUGAACUAUGUUUUUAUGAUUUUUGUGUGAUCUUUGUGAUUAACAGUUCAGACGGGUAUUAAACCUAUGCAAGUGGUGCAUCUGUGUUCAGAUGAGGCUUUGAUGGUCCAUAAAUGAAGCUCACUGAACUAAAGAAUGUGGUUUGAUGAUGCUUUACAUGCUCUCCAAAUAGAAGUUUCUCCUCCUAGCAAGGAAAUACAGGUGCAGCAGUCAGAGUAUUGCUGAAAGGAAUCUCCUGAGAAAUCUUCAGAGGCCCAGUGAGAAGCGAGAACCCAUUCCAGGCAGAGCUGACAGCCCAGGCAGUGGCUGAGGUCAAAGGUCGAGCUGUUUGGGGCCCACCAUGGGAUCAGAUUUUGGAGCCACAGCAAGGACCAUGAAGCUGCGUUGGAAUGAGAGCUGUGCCAAGGGGGCCUUUCAGAGGCCAACAGAGGAGAUUGUGGACAACAGACGGGCACCUGAAGGAUGAGGGGAGCGUGCCAAGCUCCAAAAGUGACAACGCAGGCAGAGUUCAAGGAUGGCAUCAUGAUUCUGUGAGAAGCACAGGAGCCAGAAGCUAUGGUGGUGAUGACAGCAGUUUCCUAUGAACAUCACCUAAUGCUGUGUCACUGUACUGUGCAUACGAUGACACUCUGAAGACUGCUGGGAUCAUAACAGCAGUAAGAUAACUGGAUCCAGCACCCUUUCCACAGAGGGUUUUCCUGCAGAGGAUGGACAAUGGAGGAGUCAUAUGUAUCCCCCACAGUACAGAGGCCUGAAGUGAGGUGAUGGGGGUUGGCAGAGGCCAUAAAACUAGAGUGCUGAAGAGGUCUGCAGCUCUCACAAUAGCUGAGACCCAUGUUGACAAACGGCAAACUCAACUGGUAUGUCUGAAUGUCUAUUCUACAUACAUUUGGACUCUGGUUCUAUGAACAGUGAUGGAAACAACUGGAAGAGACAUUUAUGACGCCCUGCAGAACUUAAACCACUCUGCAGAGGCGUGUGAUUUACAUGUCUUGCAGAGGAGCACCACCAAGCUGGAGUGAUCUUGAAAAUGUUAAUUUCUCUUAUGACCAUUAACAAUUCAUUUGUUUGCUUGUAGGAUGCAGUUUACCAUUGAAUGAGAUCAAUGAGAACUUGGAUAACUGCUAAUAUAUUUGUCAAACUGUGUACGUUUACAUAUGCUGAGUAUAAAAAUGUUUGCAUUGACACUGUCAGACAUGACGGGAUCAUAACUGGGUACUUUUCUAGCAUAAUUGCCAAAAGGGGGGAAAUGUUAGAUUUGUAUUGUGAUUGUCAUUUAUGCUUAGAAGUAUAUAAUCAUUUGUAGAUUGAAAGAAUGUCUCAUCCUAGGAGGUCUGUAACAACUCUGUGUAGCAUGAAGAGGGGAGUGCGUUCACUCCUCUUCAGAGUGUUCUGGCAUAGAUCACACACCUCCUAGGAGAGGUCGUAUCUUCUCCUGCUGAUAUAUGGUAUAGCAAACACACGUAUAUCUGUUUGAGUCUAAGAGCCUUUUGUUCAGAUGUACCGCUAGACUCCUGGCACCAGCUUUGGGGAGUCUGCCUGGGGUUACAUCUUGACCCCAUACACACAUAGAUACACACACUCAGGGUAUUCUUUGUUCACAUGCAUACCUAUAUAAGAUGUCAUAUGUUAAUGAACCAAUCCGAGAACCACAAUCUCCCGAAUAGAAAAGUGAGCAGUAAAGUCUAGACUGCAGACCGCUCUAACCUCUGGUGUUCACUCGGUGGGGAGAAGGGCUAUCAGUGGCAACACUGAGACACUCGCUCCUCUUGCUGGGUGUCUACUCAUUGGAGGCCAAGGGUGUGUCCACGGUCGAGAAGAGGAGAAACGCUCACAGAGGGAGACCUGAUGGAGAUGGAAAUACUAAAUGCAAACCAGGAUGCCCCUGAGGGUGAGAAACCGCACAGACGACGUCGAUGCUGGACAAGAGGAUGCCAACUGACCACUGUCACAACGAUGUGUUCCAUGCUCGUGUUCACAGUAUUCUUAUCACUGGCCCUGGUAGGCAUGAACACGGCCUGCACCAGCAACCCAUGUGACCCACACUGCCCGAGGAUUUACCGGCAGGCUCCAAAUGUGACGUGUCCUGAAAGGGGAACCAUUUUUAAGCUGCAGCCUAUGCCCAGAAGAACGCGCAACGCAACGAGAAACAAAGAAGUGGAGAACAAUGCUGGACCUUCAUACCUAACAACACUGCAGCUGACGGCAGUCUGACCAGAGCCCUGGAAAGACUGAAGACCCUGAACGAGAGAAUGAAAGAACAUUCUGGAGUGGACACUUCCAUGUGGGACAGCUGGAUGGACAUGUUUGGAAAGUACCGCAGCCUAGUGUCAUCAAUCCUAGUGUCAAUAGCUGUUCUUGCAGCCAUAUUGACCCUAUGUGGCUGUUGCUGUAUUCCCUGCAUAAGAUCCAUGAUCAACAGACUGAUAGCCACAGCUAUUACACCGGACCCUGUCGGCCAAAAAGAAAUUAUGACACUGCUGGAGCACGCCGACACUAACUCAAACACCGACGACGAAGAUGAAGAAACAACCUGUAACUAAAAGGAAAAAGACACUCCUGUUAAUAAUGAAGCAACAGUUAAAAAUGCACUGUCCAGAGACUGUAUGCUGAUAAAAGUUAAAAUGUGUAAAACAAAUUAACAACAGGAGGGAUAUGUUAAGAGAUUUUCAAAUGUUUCAAGUAUUAUUCCACUGCCAUUUGUACGUUAUUGAAAGUUUAUCUUUAAUUUUAGUGUUAAUAGUUGUUUACCCAUUUAUUCUUUCCAUUUAAUCGUAUUUUAUGGUUUUACUGUUUCGCUGAAGUGAAGCUUAAAUGAAAGACAAAAGCAUAGUGUUCUCAGAUAUGAUUCACCCAGUAUAUUUCCUCUGCACCUGGUUCUCUACGAGCCGUUUCACUCCCAGGAAGGGGAGAGCAGGACGUUCUUAUCUAUACACUCCCAAAUACAAAGAGGGGCCCAUUCUUCAGAAUCACACACACACACUCUGAGAUCAUAAACUUCACACACACACACAUACUCUGAAACGCUAUAAAUAAAGAACUGCCACAUACGCUGGUGGUGAGCCUGAGACAGCAGCGCUCACCCAGCGUGCGCACGUUGUUACCAUCUAAACUGUCUUGAGUGUCUUUAUUUCGCCUGAAGAAUGUCUUGUUUAAAUAUUUACUCCUUACACCAACGCUCUGAUCAUGUGCACAAAAUGGGAUCAUCACACUCAUUACUGAAAAGACAAAAAAGGGCUAAACUUGUAAACCUACUGAUAAAUGUAUUUGUUGUUUGGCAGUUUGUUAUGGUUCCCGACAUGAAACUUUUAAAACAACACAGUAGUUUAACAAUUUUACUAUCUUAAACAGAUUCCUUAUAUUUUAGUUUUAAUGCGGGAAUGAAAAAAAGUACUCACUGAGUUUGAUGCAGAGGGCUCUGACCUCCAUAAUGUCUUGCUGAUUGUGAACAACAGUCUCUUCCUGUGUGGCUCAUUUCUGCUGCUGAAACAAUAUUUAGCAUUUAAAAAUAGCUUUCAAAGAAGCAGUGACGCUGAUGUUGUUGUCAAGCCUCAGUGUUUCAGUUCACACUCACUGGAGGGAAAAAACAAACUAAUGCUUCACAAAACCCAGAGUGACACUAUUGUCUGAACACUGGAAAAACAAAUUGCACUGCUAAUGGGUUCAUUGUAUAUGAUGAAGGUGCUUGCACUUAUCAGUGAAUUUACCUGUUUUAAAAUGAAGCUAAGAUUUGCAAGUAUGAGACUGUGAGUACAUCAAACAGAGAUACAAAUGUAAACCAGAACUUUGUAGCAGAAUACAUUCUGGACUUUUAUUUCAAAUAAUGAUUUUUACGCAGAUUUACCUCUUAUUUUGAAGAUAUAUACUUAGGUGAAUAUAUGUUUUGACACGGACACAAGUUGUUUUUUAACCUGUUCACUUAAACAUAUUCCAGUCAUAGUUAUAUAAUGGACAUGGACAUAAUGUGUAGACUCUCAGCUUUCAUUUGAAUAUGAUGUCCCCAUUCAAACUGGAUGAAGGGUUUAGCAGUUUCAGCUCCUUAACAUGUGCCACCCCAUUUUUAAUGGGACCAAAAGUAAUCGGGCUGCUGACUCAAAGCGUAUAUCAUGGGCAGGAGUGAACAAUUCCUUCACUACGUCACUUUCUUUUAAGCUGAUGACAGGCCUGGAGUUGAUUUGAGGUGUAGUCCUUGCAUUUGGAAGAUUUUGCUGUGAACCGAAAAUAUGCGGAGCUCUCCAUGCAGGUGAAAUAAGUCAUCCUUAAGCUGUGAAACAGGAAAAACCCAUCCAAAAAUGCUACAAUAUUAGGAGUGGCAAAAUCUACAGUUAUGUACAUCCUGAGGAAGUAAGCACUGGUGAACUUAAUAAGACAAAAAGACCUCACAGUAGGUCUAAUCACAGAUUAAUUUCCAUGGUGCAGAGAAACCACUUUUCAAGGGCGAACCAAGUGAACAACACUCUCCAGGAGGUGUAUUGAUAUCCAAGUGGACAAUAAAGAGAAGACUACGUGAAGAUAAAUGCAAAGGAUUCACUGCGAGGUGCAAGCCACAGAAACGAUUAACCUAGAAGUAAAUGUGUUCGUAGUGUCUCUUUAAACGUUUGUUUUCAUGUUGGCUUGAAAUAAAAUAUUGCCCGUU
ensembl:lncRNA